GGCGACAUGGCCAAGUGGUAAGGCAAGGGUCUGCAAAAUCCUCAUCCUCGGUUCAAAUCCGAGUGUCGCCUCCA
rnacentral:tRNA from 1 species